GGCUCCGAAGCCGCCGGCCGCGCGACGAAGAAACCGGGCUCCUGGGCCUCUGGGGGAGUGGCAAAGUCAGGGAAGGCCCUUUGACCCCCGGCCCCUGGAGCUCCCCCACCCUCGCGGGGGCACUGAACCACUGCAGGCCCACCAAGGCUCUGCUCCCCGCUUCAAGCAUCCGGGAAGCGAGAUUGGAACCGGGCACUCAAGUCUGCAGGCCGGCUCCGCCUUUGCUCAGGGGCAGCUCUGUGCGCAACAGCCGAAGAUGGGAACGGCCCGAUGCCCACCAGCCGAUGGACGGCUAGCACCAGGUGCU